UACGUAGGGUGCGAGCGUUAAUCGGAAUUACUGGGCGUAAAGUGUGCGCAGGCGGCUUCGCAAGUCGAGUGUGAAAAUCCCCCGAGCUUAACUUGGGAAUUGCGCUCGAAAACACGGAGCUGGAGUGUGGCAGAGGAAGGUGGAAUUCCACGUGUAGCGGUGAAAUGCGUAGAGAUGUGGAGGAACACCGAUGGCGAAGGCAGCCUUCUGGGCCAACACUGACGCUCAUGCACGAAAGCGUGGGGAGCAAACAGG
rnacentral:rRNA from 1 species